AUUGAACGCUGGCGGCGUGCUUAACACAUGCAAGUCGAGCGGUAAGGCCCUUUCGGGGUACGACGAGCGGCGAACGGUGUGUAACACGUGGGUGACCCGCCCUCAGCUCUGGGAUAAGACCUGGGAAACCGGGUCUAAUACCGGAUAUGACUCCAUGACGCAUGUUGUGGGGUGGAAAGCCUUGUGCGGCUGAGGAGUGGGCCCGCGGCCUAUCAGCUUGUUGGUGGGGUGAUGGCCUACCAA
rnacentral:rRNA from 1 species